UGGCUUGCCUAACUGAAACUCACAGGUGCAGCAUUUACCAAUUACUGGAAAUCUGAAGCAGCAGGUGCCUUCUGAGAUAUUAAAAACCUUGCAGUAGCAAUCUACUAGGGGAAAGUUAAUGUAGGUAACUGCUUCACAGAGGGAGGAUGCAGAACUUCAGAAAGGAAAUCUCAACCGGUAACUUGCAAUAAGCCUUGUACUACUCUUAGGUCAAGCAUUUACAGUCCACAUAAGGCAUCGGCUCUGGAAGCUUACGUGAACAAACCAAGUAACUCAUAAACCAACAAAAUGAGCUGAAGGCACCCAGGAAAACUUCUAGAAUUAUGGGAAUCACAGGAGAGACUUUCCAUGAAGGAAUUCCGCUUAAAAAUAACAGAUGGUGUAAAGAAGGUUGACGGGGAGAACAGAUGAUCCUGAUCUCAUAACUCAUGAAGAAGGGGACAUUCAAUGAAAUUAAAAGAGAGCCUAAAAAUUAAGAACUAACUUCUGUUGGUGCUUCUGAGAACAUUGGAUAGGCUCGGCUGAUGGAGGAUCCUGAAGAAAAGGCUUGUGACUUCAAUCUUCUGAAUUUUUUCCUGAUGUGAAGUUUUCAUAAGAAGCUUUGACAGAAUCUGCAAACCUGAAAAUAGAUUAGAAUGUAUUUUAUUGUUUUGUUUUGUUUUUUCUUUUCAGCUCUGGCUGCUGCUGUUUCUCCAUGGGCAUAUGCUUUUGUAAAGAGGGAAUAGUGUUGCAGUCUUUGGUCUUGAUUCGUCCCCAGGACUACAAGAUAGGGUAAAAUGGAUCCCCCAGGUACCCAAAGACACAGCUGCACUAGCAAAAAGCAUUCACCCACAGGGGAGGGUAAAUGGUAAAUUUGCUGCAGCUGCACUCCCCCAGGGGUUUUUGCCUGGGGAGACCAACUUCAAACUCUCUGGUGGGAGGUUGAUGGAGGCUUUUCUGGAGAUGUGCUAGAUGACUAAGGGCUUGUCUUCACUGCAGAGUUAACUCAAGUUAUAACUAAAGUGUUGCCCCUAACUCAAGUCCCGUCCAGAUACACAAAUCCCUAAGUCCAGUGUUGUGACGCUUUUAAUUCAAGUUGUCUGGUCUGCUAAUGGGUAUAGACUAAAGCUUGAGUUAAUAAAACUCCUCAGGUGCUAACACAACUCUGUGCAGCUUAAGUGUUGUUUUGUGGUGUGGCUGCUUUUGUUCAAGCUAGGCUAAUUUAAAAGGAAUUAACCUGAAUGUAGAUAAACCAAAUUAACUCUGCAGUGAAGACAUGCCGUAAGUCACUAGAUCCCAGAUUUUUAAAUGUGUAUGUGCUUUUGGUUGACACUGAGUUGCAUGGGCAAAACACCUGAUGCAAGUCAAAGGUUCGUGUACUUGCAUAUUUGUGUAUAUGCACAACCCAACUGAAAUAUGCUUAUUGGGGAUUUUAUACACUCAUAACAUUAAAAUAUGCAUACAUUCCUUUAAAAAAAAAAAAAAAGUCUAGACCUCUGUCUUUCUCUAUAUCUAAAAUGAAAGAAUACCUACCUACUGUUAACAUUUGUUAAUGACUGUAAAGCAUGCAGAGAUCAUUUGAUGGAAAAUGCUAUAGAAUUGCAAUAUAUAAUUAUUAUGAAGCAUUAAACUUGUUGAGAUUUGUCUAUCAGUGAUGUACCAUCUUUUCAGCUGUGGUUUUCUUCAGUCCCUAGAAUAAAUCUUAGUCAUGGAA